rnacentral:rRNA from 1 species
GCAGAGAAUAGGCCCAAGCGACUGUUUACCAAAAACAUAGGUUUCUGCUAAGUCGCAAGACGAUGUAUAGGAGCUGACGCCUGCCCGGUGCUGGAAGGUUAAGGGGAUCUGUUAGAGUAAUCGAAGCAGUGAACUUAAGCCCCAGUAAACGGCGGCCGUAACUAUAACGGUCCUAAGGUAGCGAAAUUCCUUGUCGGGUAAGU